rnacentral:rRNA from 1 species
AUUAGAUGAGCCUAUAUUAGAUUAGCUAGUUGGUGGGGUAAUAGCCUACCAAGGUAAUGAUCUAUAGCUGAUCUGAGAGGAUGAUCAGCCACACUGGAACUGAGAUACGGUCCGGACUCCUACGGGAGGCAGCAGUGGGGAAUAUUGGGCAAUGGGCGAAAGCCUGAUCCAGCCAUGCCGCAUGAGUGAAGAAGGCCUUUGGGUUGUAAAGCUCUUUUAGUGAGGAAGAUAAUGACGGUGCUCACAGAAGAAGUCCUGGCUAACUCCGUGCCAGCAGCCGCGGUAAUACGGAGAGGGCUAGCGUUAUUCGGAAUUAUUGGGCGUAAAGGGCGCGUAGGCUGGUUAAUAAGUUAAAAGUGAAAUCCCGAGGCUUAACCUUGGAAUUGCUUUUAAAACUAUUAAUCUAGAGAUUGAAAGAGGAUAGAGGAAUUCCUGAUGUAGAGGUAAAAUUCGUAAAUAUUAGGAGGAACACCAGUGGCGAAGGCGUCUAUCUGGUUCAAAUCUGACGCUGAAGCGCGAAGGCGUGGGGAGCAAACAGGAUUAGAUACCCUGGUAGUCCACGCUGUAAACGAUGAAUGUUAAAUAUGGGGAG